rnacentral:rRNA from 1 species
UACGUAGGGUGCAAGCGUUGUCCGGAAUUAUUGGGCGUAAAGAGCUCGUAGGCGGCUUGUCGCGUCGACUGUGAAAACUCGGGGCUCAACUCCGAGCUUGCAGUCGAUACGGGCAGACUAGAGUGAUGUAGGGGAGACUGGAAUUCCUGGUGUAGCGGUGAAAUGCGCAGAUAUCAGGAGGAACACCGAUGGCGAAGGCAGGUCUCUGGGCAUUAACUGACGCUGAGGAGCGAAAAGCUGGGGGAGCGAACAGG